rnacentral:rRNA from 1 species
GAUGAACGCUGGCGGCGUGCCUAAUACAUGCAAGUCGAGCGAACGGACGAGAAGCUUGCUUCUCUGAUGUUAGCGGCGGACGGGUGAGUAACACGUGGAUAACCUACCUAUAAGACUGGGAUAACUUCGGGAAACCGGAGCUAAUACCGGAUAAUAUUUUGAACCGCAUGGUUCAAAAGUGAAAGACGGUCUUGCUGUCACUUAUAGAUGGAUCCGCGCUGCAUUAGCUAGUUGGUAAGGUAACGGCUUACCAAGGCUACGAUGCAUAGCCGACCUGAGAGGGUGAUCGGCCACACUGGAACUGAGACACGGUCCAGACUCCUACGGGAGGCAGCAGUAGGGAAUCUUCCGCAAUGGGCGAAAGCCUGACGGAGCAACGCCGCGUGAGUGAUGAAGGUCUUCGGAUCGUAAAACUCUGUUAUUAGGGAAGAACAUAUGUGUAAGUAACUGUGCACAUCUUGACGGUACCUAAUCAGAAAGCCACGGCUAACUACGUG